rnacentral:rRNA from 1 species
AGUCAACGCUGGCGGCGUGCCUAACACAUGCAAGUCGAGCGCGAAAGCGGGGUAACUCGCAAGUAGAGCGGCGAACGGGUGAGUAACGCGUGGGUGAUCUACCUCCGAGUGGGGAAUAACACCGGGAAACUGGUGCUAAUACCGCAUGACAUCCUCGGAUCACACUGGGGAUCAAAGCCGGGGACCGCAAGGCCUGGCGCUUGGAGAGGAGCCCGCGUCCGAUUAGCAGUUGGCGGGUAACGGCCACCAAGCGACGAUCGUAGCCGGCCUGAGAGGGCGGGACGGCCGACACUGGGACGUGAGACACGGCCCACGAC